rnacentral:rRNA from 1 species
UACGUAGGUGGCAAGCGUUAUCCGGAUUUAUUGGGUGUAAAGGGCGUGUAGGCGGGAGCGCAAGUCAGAUGUGAAAACUCAGGGCUCAACCCUGAGCCUGCAUUUGAAACUGUGUUUCUUGAGUGCUGGAGAGGCAAUCGGAAUUCCGUGUGUAGCGGUGAAAUGCGUAGAUAUCACACAGAACACCGAUUGCGAAGGCAUCUCACGAAUCCGCGAUUGACGCUGAUGCACGAAAGCGUGGGGAUCGAACAGG